rnacentral:rRNA from 1 species
CGAAUCAUUCACAAUGGGCGAAAGCCUGAUGGUGCGACGCCGCGUUAGGGAUUAAGGCCUUCGGGUUGUAAACCUCUGUCACCGGGGAAGAAACGCUUCAAGUUAAUAGUUUGAAGCCUGACUUAACCCGGAGAGGAAGCAGUGGCUAACUCUCUGCCCGCAGCCGCGGUAAUACAGAGACUGCAAGCGUUAUUCGGAUUCACUGGGCGUAAAGGGUGCGCAGGCGGCCGUGUGUGUGAGGCGUGAAAGCCCGGGGCUUAACCCCGGAAUUGCACCUCAAACUACAUGGCUAGAGCAUUGGAGAGGGUAGCAGAAUUCAUGGUGUAGCAGUGAAAUGCGUAGAUAUCAUGAGGAAUACCAGAGGCGAAGGCGGCUACCUGGACAAUUGCUGACGCUCAGGCACGAAAGCGUGGGGAGCAAAA